UGAAAUAAAGAUAAUGAGGUUGAUUUGUCCUGUGCGCAGGAAGGAGAGACUGUCCCAUUGGAGGAACCUGAUUUGGUUUGGCUCUGUGCAGCAAAUUUCAUAUGGUACCUGUAGGAGUCAAAAUGAUGGUAUCGACUGGUGGCACAGCUUGCACGUAUCAGGAGCUCCCCAAAGAUGCCUGGUUUACAAAACCUCUGAAGAUAAAAUGGGAUGUGGGCAGCCAGGAACAUUGUGGUUUCUGAGGAUCAUCGCUUCACUAGCCAGCCUAGUCACAUCUCUUUGUGCUCUGAGUUGGAGGAGCUUCAUGUGCCUGCUUGGGAUUUGGAUAAGCAGCUCUGACAGUGGGUUCUGUGAGGGAUCUUCCUACUUCGGAUCUGUUUGAAUGCUGUCUUUUGCAAUGGAGUGACUAUGGAGGAAAUGUACACUUUGUACAAAAAAAUGCAAUGAGGAGUUAGUUCCAACAAAGUGUGGAUUAGCUCGGUUUUUUUCCCCCUUUGGUAUGAAUGUUUUUUGAGGAAUAAAAUAGCCUAAUUAGCUAAAAAAAAAAAAAAA
rnacentral:lncRNA from 1 species